UCUCAGAGAUGGGGUCCAAGGCUCCCCUGCUGUGGAUGCUGCUGCUGUUGGUUCCAGGCUCCACCGGGGACAUAGUGCUGACUCAGACUGCAGCCUCCUUGACUGUGUGUCCAGGACAAAGGGCCACCAUCUCCUGCAAGGCCAGCCAGAGUGUUAGUGCAUAUGGUAUUGGUAUUAUGCAGUGGUAUCGACAGAAAGCAGGGCAGCCUCCCAAACUUCUGAUCUAUGCAGCAUCCAGUCGAGCCUCUGGGGUACCAGAGCGUUUCAGUGGCCGUGGGUCUGAGACAGACUUCACCCUCACCAUUCACCCUGUGGAGGCCCUGGAUGCUGCACACUAUUUCUGUGAGCAGGGAAAAGAUCUUCCUCUCACAAUGCAGAAAACCUGCUGUGCUGCUUCCCAGACAAGCAACACAUGGGUGCGGCUGGACCACCUGAAGCAGCAGGUUUUUGCACCACUGCAGGAGGAGCACACAUAG